rnacentral:rRNA from 1 species
UGGAAUCGGGUUUUAACUCCCAACCCCUGUGACAUACCUAUACGUUGCCUCGGCGGAUCAGCCCGCGCCCCGUAAAACGGGACGGCCCGCCCGAGGACCCCUAAACUCUGUUUUUAGUGGAACUUCUGAGUAAAACAAACAAAUAAAUCAAAACUUUCAACAACGGAUCUCUUGGUUCUGGCAUCGAUGAAGAACGCAGCAAAAUGCGAUAAGUAAUGUGAAUUGCAGAAUUCAGUGAAUCAUCGAAUCUUUGAACGCACAUUGCGCCCGCCAGUAUUCUGGCGGGCAUGCCUGUUCGAGCGUCAUUUCAACCCUCAAGCUCAGCUUGGUGUUGGGACUCGCGGUAACCCGCGUUCCCCAAAUCGAUUGGCGGUCACGUCGAGCUUCCAUAGCGUAGUAAUCAUACACCUCGUUACUGGUAAUCGUCGCGGCCACGCCGUAAAACCCCAACUUCUGAAUGUUGACCUCGGAUCAGGUAGGAAUACCCGCUGAACUUAAGCAUAUCAAUAAGGCGGAGGAA